UGGGCCCAGACAGACUUGAACUGUCGACCAACGGAUUAUGAGUCCGCUGCUCUAACCAACUGAGCUAUAGGCCC
rnacentral:tRNA from 1 species